AUUGAACGCUGGCGGCAGGCCUAACACAUGCAAGUCGAGCGAGCGGCGGGCGGGUGAGUAAUGUAUGGGGACUGCCCGAUAGAGGGGGAUAACUACUGGAAACGGUGGCUAAUACCGCAUACAGUUGGAUAAUCCAUGCGGGAUUAGCUAGUGGGUAAGGUAAUGGCUUACCUAGGCGACGAUCCCUAGCUGGUCUGAGAGGAUGAUCAGCCACACUGGGACUGAGACACGGCCCAGACUCCUACGGAGGCAGCAGUGGGGAAUAUUGCACAAUGGGCGAAAGCCUGAUGCAGCCAUGCCGCGUGUAUGAAGAAGGCCCUAGGGUUGUAAAGUACUUUCAGUCGGGAGGCGUUACCGACAGAAGAAGCACCGGCUAACUCCGUGCCAGCCGCCGCGGUAAUUC
rnacentral:rRNA from 1 species